rnacentral:lncRNA from 15 species
UUACAGCAUGUCGGGGCAGAUAUUACAUUGUACUUCAGUGCAUCCAGCCAUAAUGCACUGAUGGUGUAAAGUGAAAGGUUAUUGUCUGUUGACGUGGAUUUAUUAUGUUAUUAUUAUAUUCUUAAAGAUAACAUGAAAUCAUGUUUCUUUCUGUGUAUUACAAUUAAGUUCAUUGUAUUUACUAUUGUUGCCUCUGUGUAAUGUUCUGCUUUUCUCUUUCAGUGAGGAACUCUUCACUUCGUUCAUUGAGCUUGCAUGGUUGGUGGACGCACACAACCACAGAGGAUUGCUAUAGUGCAUUGCAGUGUGAUCCAGAGCCCUGUGGUGCUUCACGCAGUAUACAUGCAGCUCUCUCCACCAGCAGAGCAGCAGCGGAGCCAGCUUGUAAGAGCAAACUUAAAUCAGGUGGGAGUACGGCAGGAUUAUUCUCUAAUCUGAGGAAGAAGCUAGGUGCCCUGAAGAACCCACAUCAGAUGCCUCCAGAGCCACAGGAUUUGUUGUCCAGUUGUAAUGAAGAUUGCACUGCACCCAAACAAACACCCAGAGACCCUCUGCUGCAGUUGGUCUCCCUCCAGAAGGCGUCUGGCUGCUGGGUGCUAGAUCCAGCUCUGGCUGCUGCACUGGGAAAGACCAGGAAGAAGGUGGAAAAAAGGAAACCUUCAUCGGUGGGUUAUUGUCAAAGUCAAUAACACAAGAGAAAAAUAAGUCUAAGUUUAAAACAAAUGAAGUACUAAAACACAUGUAACUAAAUCAACACCGCAUAAAACAAAACCAAAUCAAAUGAACAUGGGGAUUAGUCAGACAAAAGAUACAUCACUGCAUGAAAAAAAGUCUGGAAAUCUGGGCCCAGAGUACUGGUGGUACUCGAGCACUUAAGCACCCUCGGAGCUGGCACCAAUGUCUGGUUUUAUAUAGUAGCUACCUGAGG